UACGGAGGGGACUAGCGUUGUUCGGAAUUACUGGGCGUAAAGCGCACGUAGGCGGAUUUGUAAGUCAGGGGUGAAAUCCCGGGGCUCAACCCCGGAACUGCCUUUGAUACUGCAAAUCUCGAGUCCGGAAGAGGUGAGUGGAAUUCCUAGUGUAGAGGUGAAAUUCGUAGAUAUUCGGAAGAACACCAGUGGCGAAGGCGGCUCACUGGCCCGGUACUGACGCUGAGGUGCGAAAGCGUGGGGAGCAAACAGG
rnacentral:rRNA from 1 species